AGCGAACGCUGGCGGCAGGCCUAACACAUGCAAGUCGAACGAACCCCUCGGGGUUAGUGGCGGACGGGUGAGUAACACGUGGGAACGUGCCUUUAGGUUCGGAAUAACUCAGGGAAACUUGUGCUAAUACCGAAUGUGCCCUUCGGGGGAAAGAUUUAUCGCCUUUAGAGCGGCCCGCGUCUGAUUAGCUAGUUGGUGAGGUAAUGGCUCACCAAGGCUACGAUCAGUAGCUGGUCUGAGAGGAUGACCAGCCACAUUGGGACUGAGACACGGCCCAAACUCCUACGGGAGGCAGCAGUGGGGAAUCUUGCGCAAUGGGCGAAAGCCUGACGCAGCCAUGCCGCGUGGAUGAUGAAGGUCUUAGGAUUGUAAAAUCCUUUCACCGGUGAAGAUAAUGACUGUAGCCGGAGAAGAAGCCCCGGCUAACUUCGUGCCAGCCGCCGCAGUAAUAC
rnacentral:rRNA from 1 species